GACGAACGCUGGCGGCGUGCUUAACACAUGCAAGUCGAACGGAAAGGCCCUGCUUUUGUGGGGUGCUCGAGUGGCGAACGGGUGAGUAACACGUGAGUAACCUGCCCUUGACUUUGGGAUAACUUCAGGAAACUGGGGCUAAUACCGGAUAGGAGCUCCUGCUGCAUGGUGGGGGUUGGAAAGUUUCGGCGGUUGGGGUUGGACUCGCGGCUUAUCAGCUUGUUGGUGGGGUAGUGGCUUACCAAGGCUUUGACGGGUAGCCGGCCUGAGAGGGUGACCGGCCACAUUGGGACUGAGAUACGGCCCAGACGCCUACGGGAGGCAGGAGUGGGGAAUAGUGCACAAUGGGCGGAAGCCGGAUGCAGCAACGCCGCGUGCGGGAUGACGGCCUUCGGGUUGUAAACCGCUUUCGCCUGUGACGAAGCGUGAGUGACGGUAAUGGGUAAAGAAGCACCGGCUAACUACGU
rnacentral:rRNA from 1 species